AAUAGCCUAACGGCUGAACCAGCAACUUGGGGGAAUGUAUAGCGUAAGCUAAUUGUAGUAAUACAAUAUCGACUAUGUCGGAUAAAGUUCUAGAUAGAAUAAUGAUGAUGACAAUUUACUAUCUAUAUGUCUUGGCCAAAUCUCGUGCCAGCAGCCGCGGUAAUACGAGGAAGACUAGUGUUAUUCAUCUUUAAUAGGUUUAAAGGGUACCUAGACGGUAUUUUUAGCCCAAAACAGGGUACGGAUUUACUAGAGUUUUAUGUGAGAAGGGGAGUACUUAUGGAGUAGGGAUGAAAUCCUUUAAUACUAUGGGGUAACUGGUAGAGGCGAAAGCAACCUUUUAUGUAAAAACUGACGUUGAGGGACGAAGGCCUGGGUAGCAAAAAGGAUUAGAUACCCUCGUAGUCCAGGCAGAAAAUUAUGAAUGUCAUAGACUAGAAAAAAAGAAAAUAAUUUGCUGGGAAAUAUGUAAAUUGAAAAAAGUAUAUUGACAUACAGACGUGCUAUAAAGUUAAAACUGGCAAUGUUGGAGAAGGUGUAGAAGACCUUUAUUCCUGCUUGUUAGGAAUUUGCAAAGACUUUUUCACCUAGUGUAGUAUGAUUAUGAGUAUGAUUAUACUUAGUUUAUAAAUAAAAGUGCAAGCAUUCCACCUCAAGAGUAAUGUGGCAACGCAGGAACUGAAAUCAUUAGACCGUUUCUGAAACCAGUAGUGAAGUAUGUUAUUUAAUUCGAUGACCCUCGAAAAACCUUACCACAAUUUGAAUGUUAUUUAUUUAAUACAAGCGUUGCACGGCUGUCUUUAGUUAAUGUCGUGAGAUUUUGGUUAGUUCCAUUAAAUUAACGUAAACCCUUGCUUUAUUUUUUAUUUAUAUAAAGUAGUUCGCCACUAUAUUGGAUAUGAUAAAAGGGAUUAAGACAAGUCAUCAUGGCCUUAAUAUUGUGGGCUAUAGACGUGCCACAUAUGCCUAUACAAAGGGAUGCAAUAAUGUGAAUUAAAGCUAAUCCCAAAAAGUAGGAUAUAACAU
rnacentral:rRNA from 1 species